AAUAAUACCUAAUUUCUAAAAACCUAGAUCUAUCCGCCGUUACACCAAAAGAAACCCCCCGACUUCUGUCUUCUUCACCUAACGCCUAAGGAAAAUGAGAGCUAACCAAAAUUCCUAAAAGCUAAGGAACAGCAGUAGCAGCUAAGAUGGACGAUUCACGCAUCCUCCUUUACUUGUUGCCACCGCUAUAACUCCCUCCACCUUAGUCUCCUACUCUCUCACGUUCUCACCAUGGAAAGCAGUCAUCAAAACACUACAAAGUCUCCAUUAAACACCCCAAAACAUCACCCAAAAAUCAGCCAUGUAAACCCCAAAAACCCAGCUGAAAACCAGCCCCUUAAACCACCAAAAACCCACACAAAAGUGCAGUAAUAAAACAGAUGAGAACAGCUUAAAAAACAACCUCAAAUCUGUCCCUGAACCAGUAACACCUCCGAAAGCCAGGCAAAACCAGCCCCAAACCCAGCUGAAAACUCACUCCAAAAUACCCCCAAAAUCCAGCUUCAUCUCCACCAAAAGGAGUUCGAAGAGGUCGAUUCCAAAGUCUAUUGUAUCGUCGAGGUUCGAGUUUGUCGCCGUCGAGAUUCGGAGCCACUGUUUCAGUUCGUGUUGUUGGAAUUCGUUCGUUGCUUCCUUCUUUUUCGAGCUUCUAUUGUUGCCUUUAAGUGUAUCGAUUUUCAAACAAUGAACUAAUUGAAAGCUCAUUUCAGGUGGCUCCAUUGCAGAUAGUGUCGAUAGCGCGUAGUGGAGGACCUUCUUCUCAAAGUCUUGGUGAGCCCCUUUCUCUUUCAAGGCGGUUGUAUUGCAUCUUUUGUUGUUGUGGACUUCUAUUUUUGAGGUAUAGCCGGGGCCUUGUCGCUGACACUGUCUUACUUGUCUUUUACAUCCUUAGAGGCUCCGUAGACACAUAUGUGAUUUAUGUACGGGUAUUUGAGGCGUCUAUGAACUAUGUUGGAAUUCUAACUCUUACUUCUCUAAUGUAUAAUUGUAUGGAAUCUUGGAACCUAUCUACGGUUUAAUGUUGUGAUUUAAA